AUGCAAGACAUGGUGCAAGACUUUGAUGAUGCUUGGAACUCGGACGAUGAGAUGGAGGAAUCUGCAAAGGCCUUCAAUGAAAUGUUGGGGUUUUCAAAAUGUCCUCUCCACGAGCACACUGAGCUUUGUCAGCUGGAUGUCAUCUCACAAAUAAUGGCUCUGAAGGCUCAAUUCAACUUGGGCAGAGAAUGCUACGACGCAAUGAUGACAAUAUUUGGAUGCUUUCUAUCCAAAGGCCAUGUACUACCUCAAAACUUGUACCAGUUAGACAAAAUCCUCCAUGCUCUUAAGAUGCCCUAUGAGAAGAUACAUGCCUGUGAGAAAGGAUGUGCAUUAUUUAGGCUUCGAUAUGUGCACUUGAACUAUUGUCCCAUUUGCAAGUCAUCCAGGUAUGUUGUGGUAGACAACAGUAUGGGUGAGAAGACGCAGACCAAAAUCCCCGUAAAUGUUCUUCGGUAUAUGUCAAUCGUACCAAGACUUCAACGUCUUUUCAUGGUGGAAGAGACGGCGAGGGAGAUGACAUGGCACAAAACGGGCAAAAGAACCCAACUAGAUGUAGAUGGGAAGUUGAUGAUGGUG
rnacentral:rRNA from 1 species